GGGGAUUUAGCUCAGUGGUAGAGCGCUUGCCUAGCAAGCGCAAGGCCCUGGGUUUGAUUCCCCA
rfam:Rattus norvegicus chromosome 4, whole genome shotgun sequence.